UAACAAUAGACAAAAGCUAAUAAACGCUUUGGGAGUGUUGGAUAAGAUAAUAAAAGUAGAAUUAUCAUAUUAAAAUGAACAAUAAUUAUAUCGUUAGAAUUAUCAUAUUAAAAUAAAAACUAAUUACACCUAUCAAUGCGUGAUAUUUAGGUAUAUGUUUUAAACUACUUAUUGUGGAGGCGUUCCUUUUAACAAUAAUCAACUAUUUUUUCAUAGAUGAUCAUGAUUUAUUUACUUGUUAAGUACAUUACGAAGUAAAAUGAAUAGAUAAAUAUUGAUUUUAAGGCAGAUCCUUAUAUCCUCUUUCUCUCUCUUGUUUCCCAAUGAAGAGCACUCUAUUUAGGCGAUUUCUUACAUUUCUAUCUUCCAUUGAAGCAUUACUUUUGAGAUACGAUCAUUUGGGUAUUUCUCAAAAUCCGUCGCUGGUAAUGAAUGAUCAGAAGAUUUGAGUACGACGCGGCGAUGAUUUUGCCGUUAUUCCGGUUAAGGUAGCAGUCAAUGACUUGAGGCCUUGGCUCGAGAGAGGCUUAAGAGGAAGGUUACCAUCAAGGUUUAUCAAUCAUGAAUAUCUCUUAUUGGGUACUAGUUUGAGCAGCCUGCAUUUGGAAAGUUUUUUUAGGCUAAUUUGCAAUAAAUGGAAUAAUGCUGUCCUCCUUUUCUUGUUUGGACUGACAUAAGCACUAAUAUUGGUUGCCGUUCUAUUCUAGACAACCAACAUUGAACGAGAUCAAUCCCCGCCAGCCAUCAUAAAACUCAAAUUUUUGUGACAUCAAAUCCGUGUCUGGACUCGUGGUACUGUAAAAUAUUUGAGAACCUGAGCUUAAGUUAGUGGAGAAUUAGAGAAUGUACUAAUUUAUUGACACUAUUAAACCUAUUUUUGUUUCAUAUACUUUAAUUUCUAUUAUUUAUAGGCAUAGAAUUUGUGUAUAUUUCUUAUAAGAUUACAUGUUUUUUUUUUUUUGAAAACAACUCAUAAUGACAACAUAUUAUGCAAUUGUCUCCUUUUGCAAUUUUUGCGUAAAUAUAUAACCAUAAUUCUUACUAAUAAUGUGGCAUCUAGCUAAUCACAUUGCAAACUAAGUUUCUAAAAGCUAAAUUUGGGGAGUGGGUGCUUCUUUUGCGUUCCAACAACUAAUUAUUACAGCCGACUUUACAAUCCUACGUCUAAGCAAUCCUCUUUAUGUUUUUAAGAACCUUUUUAUGUCCAAGGCUCCAAGCUACACAUGCUACUUUAGCUGAAGUAUAGUCAACAAAUUUUAUAGAAUGUAACAUUACACUCACUUUUUUAGGCUUCUAAUCCUAUUAUAAUAUUAUUAUUCCCUCCAUCUGGAAGUAAUAGCUGCAUAUACUAUUUUAAAAUGUGAAGAACUGUUUUGUCACAUUUUUUAAUGUAGGAAUGGGCUUAUUAUGGGACUACUCUUUGACUUAAGGUUGGCAUAUUGUUUAAAGGAAAAUGACUUUUUUUUUUGGUUUCAUUUUCAUAUUAAAUAUUUAAAAUAAAUUGAACAGAACAAAAAUAAUAAAGAUUAUCUUAGAUUUGUAGUUCAAAGAGGAUUUU